rnacentral:rRNA from 1 species
ACACGCAUGACACACUGCAUAUCAAUAAGCGGAGGAAAAGAAACUAACAAGGAUUCCCUUAGUAACGGCGAGUGAAGCGGGAAGAGCUCAAAUUUGAAAUCUUCAAGGUUCUACCUUGACGAAUUGUAGUUUAUAGAAGUGUUUUCUGUUAGUAGAGUGGCAAAAGUUCUUUGGAAUAGGACAUCAUAGAGGGUGAGAAUCCCGUAUUUGGUCAUUCCUUCCUAGCUUUGUGAUACACUUUCAACGAGUCGGAUUGUUUGGGAAUGCAGUCCAAAAUGGGUGGUAAAUUUCAUCUAAAGCUAAAUAUUGGCGAGAGACCGAUAGCGAACAAGUACCGUGAGGGAAAGAUGAAAAGAACUUUGAAAAGAGAGUUAAACAGUACGUGAAAUUGUCAAAAGGGAAGCGUUUGACACCAGUGUUGUUUUUCCGAAAAUCAAUUACGAAUGUUUUAGUUUUUGAGGAGUUAUGACUUCAUCGGCUUGCUCCUUUCUUUAUGAAACUUUCUUAAUGCACUUUUCGGUUAACAAGUCAACAUCAAUUUCUUUUGUUGUAAAAGGGUAAGAGGAAGGUGGCUUUCUCUUCGGCGCAAGUGUUUAUAGCCUUGUAGCCUCUGCAAUCGGAGAGAUUGAGGUCUGCAGCGUAGAUCCUUCGGGGUUAGAUACAGUUUGUGCUAAGCUAUAGCCUUGUAUAGACAACUUGUUGACUAUGCUCUAGUCAUGUAGCUUACUCGCGUAUGCUAUUUUACCUACGCUUAGGAUGUUGACGAGACUGUCGAUCUC